rnacentral:misc_RNA from 1 species
GUCUUUUCAAGGUCUCACUGAUUAUAUGUAGUGUCGCCUUCUGAUAGUAACGAGGAAGGAUGAUAAAGCCCCGUGUUAUAAUUCGUUUUCUGUGUUUAGGUAUUUUCUUGUUUUCAACUUUUUCGAUAACGAUAUCUUGGCGAUCUUUGGUAACAUUUGCUGUAUUUCUAGGUAAGUAAAUCAUUUUGCAGUUUUAGGUGAGAAAUGUGAAUAGUUCUAUGGAUGUGUGUGUGUAAAGGGGGGGGGGGGGGGGGGGAGGCUACAUGUCUCAGGUUUCUACAACAAAUUACGAUGAGACCUUGAAUAUUUAUAUACAGCAUGCUGUAUUCAGUUUGGUAAAAUAAGAGGGUUUUUUAUUCAGCUUGACUUAAUAUAAUAUAUGGUUGGCAUAUAACCAAAAUAUUGACCACAGUAUUUGCAUCAUAUGGCAUAAACUCACAGUUAAUAUUUAAUGUUAAGGUAGGUCUUUAUAAUUGAGUUAUAUCAUAAUUUACAAUCCUAUAUAAUAUUGAAGGAUUCUUUCAGAAAUCUGUCAGAAAUUUCUGUAUAUUAACCGACUCCAGAGUUUAAUAAAAAAUGGUUUGAUGUGUCCAAAGAUCAAUUUCCUACAUUUUCAUGCAUAUAAAAGUGCCCCACUACACCUUUCUCAAAUCAGCAGAAAAUUACUUCAUGAUAGAUAGCAUAAUGCAAAAGAAGAGCAUAAGUCAAAUAAGCGAAACAUACGCACUUUUGGGUUGAGAAAAAAAUUUUAAAUUUCAAAUUCAGUAAAAAUUUACAAUGGCUCCAGCUAGCCUGAUUUGAACUCUAGAGCCGUGGCCGAUACUUUACCCACUGAUCUAUGAGAAAACUCGACGAAAUUAAUUGAUGCAAAUACUUCGAUUAAACAUUUAUUUAAAUCAUGUGAUGUUGUGUCUUCAAAAAAAUGUUUUUUGUAUUGGGGUAACACUGCGUAAUUUUAAAAAAAAUCAUUUUUUGUUGAUUUGUUUUUUCAUUUUAUCUGCAACAGCUUAAACGGAACAUAGGAUCUGCACUUCUUUGUCUUGUUUAUUCAUAAUGUCGUGUUUUUUUCUAGCAUCUUUAUAUAUACUAUCCCCGGCAAAGCAAUCCAAUGCCUCGUCAGACAGUGAUCAGAAAACAACGCGACACAUCGUAAACGAGUUAUACCCCUUGGUGGAUGAGGAGGAGCUACAGAGGAGCGUAGAGAGGACGGUGUUUGGGUUCGUGACCUAUGACGCAACCAGUGUCACGGCACUGCAGCAGUUCAACCCUGUACAAGAAAACACGGAAUGUAUAUUUGCAAAGAAGGCGAAACUCUGGGGAAAUCAGGAUUGGAACCAAGAAUUAAGUUUGGAUGGCUACCAACUCUGCUGCAGUUUACAAUUGUUUGUCGCCAGUAUAAACUUGAUGGAUUCGUUAUCGAAAUACCCGAGGAAUAUCACCAUAACGACAUACACGAAUUUGCAAAGACAUUCAAGAAAAUUCUAAAAGUGAUUUCGGAUAAUGAUCCGAAAAAUAUUAAAUGCAUGGAUAAAUCGUAUGUCUCGAAACGAGGCUGGGUUUUUCAGUUCAACAAGAUGACGUUUUUCAUCACCACGUUUGCACCUUUUUAUCCAGCGACCAACAGCAGGUAUGCCUUCGGGUGUGACAACUGUUUCAUUUUGCUUCAACCAGAAUUGAGUUUCGCUCUUCACGAUUUGUCUUGGGACACACCCGAGACAAAUUACGACAACCCUACCUCAGAACGGGACAGAAUCCGCUGUGCCUAUAGGGAUGCAGGGAGACCCUAUGUAGUACCACGUGAUAUCACUCAGCCAAUGGCGUGGGACAUGAUAAAACCACUCACAGAACACGAUCCGAUAGUUCAGUGGUGGAAGUGAUAACCCCGUUGUUGAUUUUGAAUUUAAGUUUGUUUUAUCUGUCAGCACAUCUGAAAAUAUUGUAUAAUUGUCACUGACAAAACUUUUUGUUCUGAUACAACCUGUAUAAUUUAAUUAAUAUUAUAUGGUUAUAUAUG